rnacentral:rRNA from 1 species
CUGGGCAGUUNCUGACGCUGAGGAGCGAAAGCAUGGGGAGCGAACAGGAUUAGAUACCCUGNUAGUCCAUGCUGUAAACGGUGGGCGCUAGGUGUGGGCUGUGUGUUUGCAGUCUGUGCCGUGGCUAACGCAUUAAGCGCCCCGCCUGGGGAGUACGGCCGCAAGGCUAAAACUCAAAGGAAUUGACGGGGGCCCGCACAAGCGGCGGAGCAUGUGGAUUAAUUCGAUGCAACGCGAAGAACCUUACCUGGGUUUGACAUGCACCAGAUCGGCGUAGAGAUACGUUUUCCCUUGUGGUUGGUGCACAGGUGGUGCAUGGUUGUCGUCAGCUCGUGUCGUGAGAUGUUGGGUUAAGUCCCGCAACGAGCGCAACCCUUGUCUUAUGUUGCCAGCACAUUUUUUGGUGGGGACUCAUGAGAAACUGCCGGGGUCAACUCGGAGGAAGGUGGGGAUGACGUCAAAUCAUCAUGCCCUUUAUACCCAGGGCUUCACACAUGCUACAAUGGUCGGUACAACGGGUUGCGACACUGUGAAGUGAAGCUAAUCUCUGAAAGCCGGCCUCAGUUCGGAUUGGGGUCUGCAACUCGACCCCAUGAAGUCGGAGUCGCUAGUAAUCGCAGAUCAGCAACGCUGCGGUGAAUACGUUCCCGGGCCUUGUACACACCGCCCGUCACGUCAUGAAAGUUGGUAACACCCGAAGCCCAUGGCCUAACCACCGUUUGUGGUGGGGGGAGUGNUCGAAGG